rnacentral:rRNA from 1 species
UACGAAGGGGGCGAGCGUUGUUCGGAUUUACUGGGCGUAAAGGGCGCGCAGGCGGUCUUGUUUGUCGAGUGUGAAAGCCCCGGGCUCAACCUGGGAACUGCGCUCGAAACGGCGAGACUAGAGUUCGGGAGAGGAGAGUGGAAUUCCCAGUGUAGAGGUGAAAUGCGUAGAGAUCGGAAAGAACACCAACGGCGAAAGCACUCUGCUGGGCCGACACUGACACUGAGAGACGAAAGCUAGGGGAGCGAAUGGG